UACGUAGGGUGCGAGCGUUAAUCGGAAUUACUGGGCGUAAAGCGUGCGUAGGCGGUUCGCUGUGUCCGAUGUGAAAGCCCCGGGCUUAACCUGGGAAUGGCAUUGGAAACUGGCGGGCUUGAGUGCGGCAGAGGGGGGUGGAAUUCCGCGUGUAGCAGUGAAAUGCGUAGAGAUGCGGAGGAACACCGGUGGCGGAAGCAGGCCCCUGGGUCGACACUGACGCUCAGGCACGAAAGCGUGGGGAGCAAACAGG
rnacentral:rRNA from 1 species